rnacentral:rRNA from 1 species
CAGCAGUGGGGAAUAUUGGACAAUGGGCGCAAGCCUGAUCCAGCAAUGCCGCGUGUGUGAAGAAGGCCUUCGGGUUGUAAAGCACUUUUAUCAGGAGCGAAAUGCCAUAGGCCAAUACCCUGUGGAGCUGACGGUACCUGAGGAAUAAGCACCGGCUAACUUCGUGCCAGCAGCCGCGGUAAUACGAAGGGUGCAAGCGUUAAUCGGAAUUACUGGGCGUAAAGGGUGCGUAGGCGGUUAUUUAAGUCUGUUGUGAAAUCCCCGGGCUCAACCUGGGAAUGGCAAUGGAUACUGGGUAGCUAGAGUGUGUCAGAGGAUGGUGGAAUUCCCGGUGUAGCGGUGAAAUGCGUAGAGAUCGGGAGGAACAUCAGUGGCGAAGGCGGCCAUCUGGGACAACACUGACGCUGAAGCACGAAAGCGUGGGGAGCAAACAGGAUUAGA